CCAGGAAGAAGUUCUCACUUAUGAAAUUCAGGGCCCUUUCCAGAUUCCCUUUCUGCUUUUGAGGAAAGAAGCGAGCAUCAGGAUAAGGACAAAGAAAGGGAAGCUUUUCUCCCCCAAGACAAAGGAUGAGGCCAAGUACAUAAUAAAGACUUGCUGUCUCUUAGCAUAGGGCCAGAUGAAAAUCAAGACUCCAGAAGGGGUGGGUCUGGCAGGGAGACUGUUGGGGUGGGAGAAUGCAGGAGACACCUCACUACUUCAGAACAGAGAGGAGCCGAUAUCUCAGUCCAGGAUCACGGUACUGGAAUCCUCAGUUAACCCGGCAAUUGUGCCCCAGGUGUAUAACUAACAAUUAGGGGUGCACAGGUCACCAAAAGACUUGCACAAAAUGGAACUACUGAAAUGCCCAUCAACAGCAGAACUGUGGAUAGUCACAUAAUGAAAUACUAUACAAUGAGAAUCGACUAGAACUACAUCCAGAAUUAUGCAAGAAUCUCUCAAGGGUGCCGUGAAAGCAGUCAGAGCUAAGGGGAUAACUCUAUGAUCCUCCUACAGAAAGUUCAAAUGCAGGCAAAUUCGCCUGUGGUACUUAGAAGUCAGAAGAGUGGUUAUCUUGAGAGAAGGGUUGAAAUUAGGAGGAAAGGGGCAUCUAAGGCCCUGGUAAUGCUGUUUCUUAUCUGUGUGCCAGAAACACAGGGGUUUUAAGUUUGCGACAUUCAUAGGGCUGCACACUCAUCAUUUGGGCACUUUUAUCUACAUUUGUUAUUCUUCAAUAACAUCUAGUCUCUGAAUGGAGACCAUUCAGCCUCAGGACCAAAGCCUCAACUGACUGGAGCUGGGGAGGCCCUUCCCUCCCUCAUCUUCCAUCAUCCUCCAAAUGCUUUGCAGAGCUAUAGUUCCUGGCCCUAGAAACUCUUUGCUUAUCAUGAACAAUAACUUCUUUGUGCAGUAGGGAGGUGAGAGCACCCUGCGCUGGGUAACCUAGGAACACAGUGGCACAUGAGGAGGUGGGAAGGGAGACUAGAGGUUUGAGACCUGCUCCCCAGGCACAAGCUACUGGUGAUGCAGGACAGAGUCUUCAGCAAGGUAACCCUACUCUGCUGCUAAGCCAGGAAGGCAGCCUGCUAGGCUUGAAGCUCCAGUUCCCAUUCAUUCCUCAGAGCCAGAUUUAUGGAUAUCCCCCUGGGCUGUGGAGGCAAAACACCAGGGUUUAAAUCCUGGCCGUCUGUUUACUGCACCAGUGACCUCUCACUAAGUUCCUCAACCUCAUUUUACAGCUAAGUGGAAAUUAUCAACAACUCCUUUGCAGGACAGCCCACAAGCACAGAAAGUUACUAAAUUAGGGCCCGUUGGUCACCUCCAGUCGGUCCAGUCCUGCCACCGCACCCGCCAGCUGUGUUCUCCAUGCAGUUCAACAAGGGCCCCUCAUACCGGCUCUCGGCCGAGGUCAAGAACCGGCUCCUGUCCAAAUACAACCCCCAGAAGGAGGCAGAGCUCCGCAGCUGGAUCGAGGGGCUCACCAGCCUCUCCAUCAGCCCCAACUUCCAAAAGGGCCUGAAGGACAGAAUUAUCUUACACACACUCAUGAACAAGCUGCAGCCAGGCUCAGUCCCCAAGAUCAACCGCUCCAUGCAGAACUGGCACCAGCGAGAAAACCUCUCCAACUUCAUCAAGGCCAUAGUCAGCUACGGCAUGAACCCCAUGAACCUGUUUGAGGCCAAUAACCUGUUUGAGAGUGGGAACAUGACGCAGGUGUUGUCUCUUCUUGCCCUGGUGGGGAAGGCCAAAACUAAGGGGCUGCAGAGCAGGGUGGACAUCGGCAUUGGGUACUCAAAGCAGCAGGAGCGGAACUUCGACUACAACACCACGAAGGCCAGCCAGUGAGUCACUAGGCUGCAGAUGGGCACCAACAAAUGUGCUAGCCAGUUGGGCAUGACCAUGUACAGCACAGGAAGGCAUCUCUACAGCCCCAAGAACCACAUCCUGCCCCCAUGGACCAUUUGACCAUCAGCCUCCAGAUGGGUACAAACAAGUGCGCCAGCCAGGUAGGCAUGACGGCUCCCUGGACGCAGCAGCAGAUCUAUGACACCAAGCUGGGCACCAACAAGUGUGACAACUCCUCCAUGUCCCUGCAGAUGGGCUACACGCAGGGUGCCAACCAGAGAGGCCAGGUCUUUGGCUUGGGCCGGCAGAUAUACAAUUCCAAGUACUGCCCACAAGGCUCAGUGGCCGACAGGGCUCCCUCGGGCACCAAUGAGUGCCCAGGCCCAGGGGAGGCCCCUGAAUUACCCCCCUUACUACCAGGAGGAGGCCAGCUACUAAGGCUCCCAGCACGCUUUCUCCCCACAUCGUCUCCCUGUCUGGGUUUUGGGGUUUUUCUGUAUUUUUUUUUUUUUUAAAACCUGUUCAGUGUUGCCAAUCAACCGAGGGUCUGUGAGUGGCGGCAUGGGAUCUGGCAGCAGGGUUUUGCCCCCUUGCCUUGGUUCCUUCGCAGAACUGGGCCACCGGGUUGUGCGGGAAGGGGUUAAGGCCGCAUCCCGAUGCGUGUAGAGUGAGGGUCCCUGCUGGCAUGUCCAGGCUAUGGGGCUGCUGUGCUGCGGCGAAGAGACCUGCGCAUGGAGGCAAUCGCUCCCCGAAGGUUUCCAGUUGCCUUGCCUCUUCCCCCGUUUGCUGGCCGAUCAGUUUGUGGUUUCUGCACCCACAAAAGUUUCAGGAAGUAUUAACAAAAGAAAAAUAUGGCCGGGCAUGGUGGCUCACAUCUGUAAUCCCAGCACUUUGGGAGGCUAAGGUGGGCGGAUCACCUGAGGU